CACGGGGGGAGCAAGCGUUGUUCGGAUUCAUUGGGCGUAAAGGGCUCGUAGGCGGUCUGUCGCGUCGGAUGUGAAAAUCCAGGGCUCAACCCUGGACCUGCAUUCGAUACGGGCAGACUAGAGUUCGGCAGGGGAGACUGGAAUUCCUGGUGUAGCGGUGAAAUGCGCAGAUAUCAGGAGGAACACCGGUGGCGAAGGCGGCCAUCUGGACGGCUAUUGACGCUGAGACGCGAAAGCGUGGGGAGCAAACAGG
rnacentral:rRNA from 1 species